GACGAACGCUGGCGGCGUGCCUAACACAUGCAAGUCGAGCGGAGAUGAUGUGAGGAAGUUUUCGGAUGGAAUCACAUUAUUUUAGCGGCGGACGGGUGAGUAACGCGUGAGCGACCAACCUUGCACAGGGGGAUAACGGACCGAAAGGUUCACUAAUACCGCAUGAGACCACGGUGUUGCAUGACACAGGGGUCAAAGGAGGAAUCCGGUGCAAGACGGGCUCGCGUCCGAUUAGGUAGUUGGAGGGGUAACGGCCCACCAAGCCUAUGAUCGGUAGCCGACCUGAGAGGGUGAUCGGCCACAUUGGAACUGAGAUACGGUCCAAACUCCUACGGGAGGCAGCAGUGGGGAAUAUUGGGCAAUGGGGGAAACCCUGACCCAGCAACGCCGCGUGAAGGAAGAAGGUUUUCGGAUUGUAAACUUCUGUCCUUGGUGAAGAGAAGAAGACGGUAGCCGAAGGAGGAAGCCCCGGCUAACUACGUGCCAGCAGCCGCGGUAAGCGUAGCGUG
rnacentral:rRNA from 1 species